GCUGACAGUGCUUGAUAAGACAAGCUGGAAUAAGUAGGGACUGCCAUUCUACAUCAGAACCAUUUAAAUAAAAACGACUUGUAGCUGAUGCCUGAAAAAGUAUACCACAGUGGAAUGACAGUUUCUGGAGUCUACAGCAAAGAUGGUGGUUUACCUAGAUCGCUGCUUGGCUUUGCAGGUAGCAGAGGCAUUAAACUGACGGAUAAAAGUGAAAGACACCUGGAAGCCAUCAGAAGUUAGAAAACAUGUACAGCUAUCAAUGGAGUGAUAUGGGUGCGAUAACUCCUGAAAACUCAAGUCAGGAGGAUUUGCCAUCCAUUAUGUAAUAGUGAUACAUCAAACCCAGAACCAAGGAUCCCAGGAUGGGGAAGGGCGUUGGUCUUACCUGA